GUUGGGAAUCUUGGACAAUGGGGGAAACCCUGAUCCAGCCAUGCCGCGUGAGUGAUGAAGGCCUUCGGGUUGUAAAACUCUUUCGCGCACGACGAUAAUGACGGUAGUGCGAGAAGAAGCUCCGGCUAACUUCGUGCCAGCAGCCGCGGUAAUACGAAGGGGGCUAGCGUUGUUCGGAAUUACUGGGCGUAAAGCGCGCGCAGGCGGUCUUCCAAGUCAGUGGUGAAAGCCCGGAGCUCAACUCCGGAACUGCCAUUGAAACUGUUAGACUUGAGUAUGAGAGAGGUGAGUGGAAUUCCCAGUGUAGAGGUGAAAUUCGUAGAUAUUGGGAAGAACACCGGUGGCGAAGGCGGCUCACUGGCUCAUUACUGACGCUCAGGCGCGACAGCGUGGGGAUCAAACAGGAUUAGAUACCCUGGUAGUCC
rnacentral:rRNA from 1 species